AUUGAACGCUAGCGGCAUGCUUUACACAUGCAAGUCGAACGAGUGGCGGACGGGUGAGUAAUAUAUCCGAACGUGCCCAGUAGCGGGGGAUAACUACUCGAAAGAGUGGCUAAUACCGCAUACUCUUGGAGCGGCCGAUAUCGGAUUAGCGAGUUGGUGGGGUAAAGGCUCACCAAGGGUACGAUCCGUAGCUGGUUUGAGAGGACGCCCAGCCCCAAUGGGAAGGAGACACGGCCCAGACUCCUACGGGAGGCAGCAGUGGGGAAUAUUGGACAAUGGGGGAAAGCCUGAUCCAGCCAUCGCGCGUGUAUGAGAAGGCCUUCGGGUUGUAAAGUACUUUUGGCAGAAAAGCGGUAUCUGCAGAAUAAGCACCGGCUAACUACGUGCCAGCCGCCGCGGUAAUAC
rnacentral:rRNA from 1 species